AUGAAGUUUAACAGGGGUCGCCGCCACCGACGGAACUCGAAGGCAGAAGUUGGUAGUGGAGGCAUGCUAAGCAAGCUGCCUGGCGAUAUACAAGCUUGUAAUGGGGACAGGCUAAGUGAGCUGCCCGCCGAUGUGCUGCUCAACAUUCUCGAGAGGGUGGGCACACUUGAUGCUGUAAGAACCUGCAUCCUUUCGAAGCAGAUGCAGAAGCUGCCAGCUAUGCUCUCGCAGAUCGUCAUUGAUCUCAGCCCUCGUGAUUUGUUUCAAAAAAGUGAUGUCGUGGCUGAUGUGACCAACAAGAUUCUUAGUAGGAGGCCUCCACGGAUCACCAUUCGCAAGCUGAAGCUCAAAUUUGUCUUGAGUCCUUCUCGCUGCCUUUCCAUCGGCAAAUCCGUUGGCCUCGCCAUGGCAACUCAGAAAUUUGAUGCAGCUGAGUUUGAGAUCAUGCGCCGAUGGAUUUCCAUCUUUUCACUGAUGCCUAUCGCCUGCUCUUUGCUGAGCAACAUACCCAACAUCCUAAGCAAUUGCAAGCGGCUGGAGUCACUGUCUUUCUUCAUGUGUGGUGUGGGGAUCAGUUCGGUUCUGCAUGUGGAACACACUCAACUCAUCGAGCUUGUUAUGUCCUAUUGUGUAUUCAAAACUGUGGAGCUCAGCUCUCUACCAAAACUCCAAAUGAUGACCUUUGGUGAUUGGCCCUGUGAUGAAAAUCCGUUGGUUCUUGGUUUUGUCCCUCAGAUUUCCAAGCUCAGUCUUGCUAAUCCAAACUUUUCAGGCAAGACCCACAACUUAAGCAAGCUGCUUGCUAAUGCCCCUACUGUAAACGAUUUGUUUCUGGAGUUUCGAAGUGAAAAGAUCUGGGUUCAACCAGAAUGCCCGAAAGUGCUUGCUCCUGUACUCGCCAAAUUACGGUUUGUGAAUCUGGAUCACCUCCCCGAAGAAUGUGAUAUUUCUUGGACAAUGUUCCUUCUUGAAGCUGCACCAUCCGUAGAGGACCUUUGCAUCACAGUAUGGGAUCAUAAGUGCCGAAAGAAGUCACACAAGAGUUACUCUGAGAAAACAGAUGUGAAGUGGGAGGCAUCUGAUCCUGAUUUUAAGCACAAGAAUCUGGCGAGGCUAACUAUUUACGGCUUCCAGUCCGAUGACAAUUUCACAAGAUACGUCAGGCGUGUUAUUCAAGCUGCGGUGAAUAUCAGGAAGGUAUCUCUGCACGACAGGAAGGUAUGCAAGCUCUGUGCUGAAAAGUUUCCUCAUGCUGAGGUUCGUCCUUCGGGUUAUCCACGGACCAGCGAGGAGAUGGAUUUGUCGAGGAAGAAGAUGACAGCGGCGUCGGCGGCGGCUUGUCCUGAUAUUCACUUUUGCUCAUAA
rnacentral:rRNA from 1 species